GACGAACGCUGGCGGCGUGCUUAACACAUGCCAGUCGAACGGAAAGGCCCUGCUUUUGUGGGGUGCUCGAGUGGCGAACGGGUGAGUAACACGUGAGUAACCUGCCCUUGACUUUGGGAUAACUUCAGGAAACUGGGGCUAAUACCGGAUAGGAGCUCCUGCUGCAUGGUGGGGGUUGGAAAGUUUCGGCGGUUGGGGAUGGACUCGCGGCUUAUCAGCUUGUUGGUGGGGUAGUGGCUUACCAAGGCUUUGACGGGUAGCCGGCCUGAGAGGGUGACCGGCCGCAGGGUGGCAGAAGUGCGGACGAGAGUGAGAGGGGGGGCAGGAGUGGGUGAGUGUGCACGCGGGGCGGAGGCCCGAUGCAGCAGCGGGGGGUGCGGGAGGGCGGCCUGGGGGUUGCACCCCGCUUUCGCGUGUGGGGAGGGGGGAGGGACGGUAGGGGGAAGAGAAGCACCGGCAAACGACGGGCCAGAAGCAGCGGUGAUAGAGGGAACGAACACGCGUCUAAC
rnacentral:rRNA from 1 species